rnacentral:rRNA from 1 species
UACGUAGGGGGCAAGCGUUGUCCGGAAUCAUUGGGCGUAAAGAGCGUGUAGGCGGCCAGAUAAGUCCGCUGUGAAAUCUCGAGGCUCAACUUCGAGCUGUCGGUGGAAACUGUCUGGCUAGAGUCCGGAAGAGGAAAGUGGAAUUCCUGGUGUAGCGGUGAAAUGCGCAGAUAUCAGGAAGAACACCAAUGGCGAAAGCAGCUUUCUGGGACGGUACUGACGCUGAGACGCGAAAGCGUGGGGAGCGAACAGG